rnacentral:rRNA from 1 species
UACAGAGGGGGCCAGCGUUAUUCGGAAUUAUUGGGCGUAAAGGGCGCGUAGGCGGCCAUGCGUGUCUCCCGUGAAAUCCCUCAGCUCAACCGAGGACGUGCGGAAGAAACUGCAAGGCUCGAGUCCGGAAGAGGGGGGCGGAAUUCCCAGUGUAGCGGUGAAAUGCGUAGAUAUUGGGAGGAACACCAGUGGCGAAGGCGGUCCCCUGGGCCGGAACUGACGCUGAGGCGCGAAAGCGUGGGUAGCAAACGGG